rnacentral:lncRNA from 1 species
GUCCAAGCCGACGAUUCUGACCUCGACUCCCCACCCAAGGUCGUGGUUCUGCCCCUCUCGCAUCUUGAGGUUUUUCUUCCCAAUUGCUUGCUGCUCUGCUUGAGCAUAGUUUCUAUUUGUGGUUGGUUGUAAACCAAACUGCCAUGCUGAGGUCCGUCUGGGUUUUUUGGUUGCUGGCCCUGUACUAGACUUCCAGGUUCAUGCUUGUGUAUGAAAUUAUGUUGUUUGCUUAGGAUGGUUGGAUGACUAUCUCUGGUUCCUGUUGAGGUUCUUCAUGUUGGAGGCUAGUUCAACUAUGGUUCCAAUUCAUAUCAUAUUUGGUACUGCUGUUGUGCAUAUGGUGUGUGUGGGGUUCCUGAUGGUUACUUACUAGCUACGGAGUUUGUUGCACGUUUGACUGAUUUAUUCUUUUGUGUGUUGUAGCCGGAGCAGAAGCUGAUCGUCGUGUGCCAGGUGGCUGACCCGCACCAGUAUUCCUGCUUCUACUGGCUCCCAAGAGCGCAUCCAUGUGUACGCUCUUACUGCCAACCCGACUGGCUACCUCCCGCCUCACGCAUAGGUAAGCCAUUCGGUUCCUCUUCCUCUGCUCUCUUGUGCUCUGUGUGCCCACGACCAUUGAGCCGUGGUAAAAUUAACGCUUGGGUUGAGUUCUACAAUGAUAGAAGUUAUGGUUUGUAACAAAACUAUAAAAUCUCUGUAACACUUGGUGAUUGAUUAGUUAAACCCCACCUGCUUCUUUGUUUAUUAGAACUAUUCCAGUCUAUUUUAUCUUUAUGAGCAAUCUGUUGUUUUAUUUCUACUAUGUCUAUGGCUUAUUAGGUCUCGCUUACUUGAGAGUAAACUAAUUGGCAAUGCGUCUUCAACUGGUGCUUGGUUUAUUUAGAUUUUGUAAAAGCUUUUGGUUACUUGCAACUCAUGGUGAGUAACCUUGUUAGAAAGUUGUACAAUCCGAAGAGCCAUGAACGACUUUGUUGUCACUUAUUUUGUUAGCAUCUCUGGCUCGUCUUGUCUUGUGCUGUAAGAGAAACCUGACUCAGCUCUUUGGAUCUUAUUACAGGAUGGAGAGCAUAACUGAAGAAAAGAAAGGAAAAAUCUGAAAGUCGAGAGAGGGAACUUUGAUACGCUCUGGUUGUCGAGCUGAAGUGGCUGGCUGGCUGGCUGGCUGUACACGUUGUGACGAUCAAGAUCUAUCUAAGUUGUCGAGGAAAAGUUGGGAGGGGACACAAGUGUUUGCUGCAAUCUUGUGCAUGAGCAGUACUUGUGUUGGAAACAGAAGUAGUGCGGUGUAACGAUGUUUACCCUUGGUGAUGGUCUCCUUGAAGGGUAUCAAUAUCAUCGAGUGGCCAUGCUUGUCUUUUGUCGGUUUGAUCAAUCGGUUGUUCCUGGGAUGUUUUUGAGGAGUUGCUGUUUUUCCAUUCAGUUAUAUCUUUGUUAUGAACCAAUGAAUCAAUUAUAUCUUUGUUAUGGACCAAUGAAUCAAUGUAUAAGAUGAUCAGAAUUGCUGGCUGCCAUGUGCCUUUGGAAGACGCAAUCAAACCAAAUGUUUCUUGUUGAUGUUGUAAAGGCCUUGCCGUUUUUAUCACAUACAAUAAAUUUUGUUGUCCAUUUGCUGUAGUCCAUUUUUCCUGUAAGCUCUAUCUAGCUAGCAUAUACGCUUGCUUGUGAUUCAUGUGAAAAUAGGAGAAAAUAUGUGUAUCAACAUCAACCAAGG